GAUGAACGCUGGCGGCGUGCCUAAUACAUGCAAGUCGAGCGAACGGACGAGAAGCUUGCUUCUCUGAUGUUAGCGGCGGACGGGUGAGUAACACGUGGAUAACCUACCUAUAAGACUGGGAUAACUUCGGGAAACCGGAGCUAAUACCGGAUGAUAUUUUGAACCGCAUGGUUCAAAAGUGAAAGACGGUCUUGCUGUCACUUAUAGAUGGAUCCGCGCUGCAUUAGCUAGUUGGUAAGGUAACGGCUUACCAAGGCAACGAUGCAUAGCCGACCUGAGAGGGUGAUCGGCCACACGGGAACUGAGACACGGUCCAGACUCCUGCGGGAGGCAGCAGUAGGGAAUCUUCCGCAAAGGGCGAAAGCCUGACGGAGCAACGCCGCGUGAGUGAUGAAGGUCUUCGGAUCGUAAAACUCUGUUAUUAGGGAAGAACAUAUGUGUAAGUAACUGUGCACAUCUUGACGGUACCUAAUCAGAAAGCCACGGCUAACUACGUG
rnacentral:rRNA from 1 species